GACGAACGCUGGCGGCGUGCUUAAUACAUGCAAGUCGAACGGAAAGACCCUGCUCUUGUGGGGUGCUCGUGUGCCGAACGCGUGAGUAACACGCGAGUAACCUGCCCCUGUAUUUGGGAUAACUUCACGAAACUGGGGCUAAUAUCGGAUAGGAGCUCCUGCUGCACGGUGGGGGUUGGAAAGUUUCGGCGGUGUGGGAUGGUCUCGCGGGUUAUCAGCUUGUUUGUGGGGUAGUGGCUUACCAAGGCUUAGACGGGUAGCCCGCCUGGGAGCGUAGACAGGGACAUGGCGACUGAGAGACGGAGCAGAAGCGUACGGGAGGCAGAGGGGGAGAGUAUUGCACAACGGGCAGACGUGAGAUACAACAACGCCGCGUGCGUAAUGACGUCCUAUGGGUUAUGAACCGAUGUCGCCUGUAACGAGGAGGUAGUGACGGUAAUGAGUAAGAAAGCACCGGCUAACUACGUG
rnacentral:rRNA from 1 species